UGGGGAAUAUUGCACAAUGGGCGCAAGCCUGAUGCAGCAACGCCGCGUGAGGGAUGACGGCCUUCGGGUUGUAAACCUCUUUUAGCAGGGAAGAAGCGAAAGUGACGGUACCUGCAGAAAAAGCGCCGGCUAACUACGUGCCAGCAGCCGCGGUAAUACGUAGGGCGCAAGCGUUAUCCGGAAUUAUUGGGCGUAAAGAGCUCGUAGGCGGUUUGUCGCGUCUGCUGUGAAAUCCCGAGGCUCAACCUCGGGUCUGCAGUGGGUACGGGCAGACUAGAGUGCGGUAGGGGAGAUUGGAAUUCCUGGUGUAGCGGUGGAAUGCGCAGAUAUCAGGAGGAACACCGAUGGCGAAGGCAGAUCUCUGGGCCGUAACUGACGCUGAGGAGCGAAAGGGUGGGGAGCAAACAGGCUUAGAUACCCUGGUAGUCCACCCCGUAAACGUUGGGAACUAGUUGUGGGGUCCAUUCCACGGAUUCCGUGACGCAGCUAACGCAUUAAGUUCCCCGCCUGGGGAGUACGGCCGCAAGGCUAAAACUGCAAAGG
rnacentral:rRNA from 1 species